GAUGAACGCUGGCGGCGUGCCUAAUACAUGCGAGUCGAGCGAACAGACGAGGAGCUUGCUCCUCUGACGUUAGCGGCGGACGGGUGAGUAACACGUGGAUAACCUACCUAUAAGACUGGGAUAACUUCGGGAAACCGGAGCUAAUACCGGAUAAUAUAUUGAACCGCAUGGUUCAAUAGUGAAAGACGGUUUUGCUGUAACUUAUAGAUGGAUCCGCGCCGCAUUAGCUAGUUGGUAAGGUAACGGCUUACCAAGGCAACGAUGCGUAGCCGACGUGAGAGGGUGAUCGGCCACACUGGAACUGAGACACGGUCCAGACUCCUGCGGGAGGCAGCAGUAGGGAAUCUUCCGCAAUGGGCGAAAGCCUGACGGAGCAACGCCGCGUGAGUGAUGAAGGUCUUCGGAUCGUAAAACUCUGUUAUUAGGGAAGAACAAAUGUGUAAGUAACUAUGCACGUCGUGACGGUACCUAAUCAGAAAGCCACGGCUAACUACGUG
rnacentral:rRNA from 1 species